GCUUGUGUAGCUCAGCAGGUAGAGUACUUCCUUGGUAAGGAAGGGGUCACCGGUUCGAAUCCGGUCACAAGCU
rnacentral:tRNA from 1 species